ACUGGCUGUCCCACAUUUUGAAAUUUAAUGGACUCGUGGUGAUCAGAAUAAAAGAAGCCUUCGAUGUGAGGCCCAGGCAUUAAGUACCAUGUGUGUGAUUCACGAGCCUUGGCAUCUGAACAAUUUUUUGGAAGGAUCCAUCAGGACAACACGUCGGGGGUGUACUAGUGAAGUGAUUUUCAAAAUGUGCUACUCAGACCUGUAGCAUCAGCAUUACCGGAUAAUUUGUUAGAAAUUCCAACUGUUAGGCCCCACUUUAGACCAACUGAAUGUGAAACUCUGGGAGUACAUGGGGCCCAGCAAUUUGUGUUUUUACAAGACUUACCAGGUGAUUCUGAGAACCACUGUGCUAGUGAAUUGUUCCUGUCUGUGGCCACGUAGAAUAAGAAAACCAUAGGGUUGGAAAAUGGGGAAAUUGAUGAGUGUUCGCUUAUGAGGAAAUGAAGAAUAGAUAGAAAAGAAUUAGUUAACUUUUGGAAUUCAAAAAAGAAGCAGUUUUGUAAAAGCCAGGAAUUUGAUUUGAAGGACUAAUUGCUUGCAGAAUCUUUGCUUUCUCAGAGAGGGGCACUCCAGAUCACUAGGUUACCGUGAA
rnacentral:lncRNA from 1 species